UACAGAGGCCCCAAGCGUUAUCCGGAAUUACUGGGCGUAAAGGGUGUCAAGGCGGUCAUGUUAGUCGUUCGUUAAAUCCGUGGGCUCAACCUACGGCUCGCGAGCGAAACGGCAUGACUAGAGGUAGGGAGAGGUGCGUGGAACUCACGGUGUAGGGGUGAAAUCCGUUGAUAUCGUGGGGAACACCAAAGGCGAAGGCAGCGCACUGGCCCUCACCUGACGCUCACACACGAAAGCCAGGGUAGCGAACGGG
rnacentral:rRNA from 1 species